UCACUGGAGUUGUAGUGGCAGGCUCACAGGCGUACUACAGUUGCUCGCCACCUCAACCAUGGCUUUAAUAAUGAGGGUACUUCAAUUGUCUCUACUCCUUGAUGUGGGCUGUCAAGUACAUGCUUACAGAAUCGGAUAUGCUGAGCCGGAGAUGCCUACGUAUGGGCUGCAGCAGCAAGCAGCAGCAACAUCCUAGCUACAAGCCCCAGCAGCAUCCUAGCUACAAGCCCCAGCCACAGCCGCAGCAUCCAAGCUACAAGCAUCCUAGCUACAAGCCCAAGCAGCAGCAUUCUCCUAGUCACAAGCAGUAACUCAGAAGUUGAGAAGUUUGCAUUCUGUACCUUUGCUUCAUUGAAAAUUCCAUCAAAUCCUUCAACGAUAUAAAGUUCUCAAUUGUGUUCCUGCCAUGACAUGGUUCUACUAUCCAAAUUUGACAAAAUAAUAAAAAUAUCA